AGAGUUUGAUCCUGGCUCAGGAUGAACGCUGGCGGCGUGCCUAAUACAUGCAAGUCGAGCGAAUGGAUUGAGAGCUUGCUCUCAAGAAGUUAGCGGCGGACGGGUGAGUAACACGUGGGUAACCUGCCCAUAAGACUGGGAUAACUCCGGGAAACCGGGGCUAAUACCGGAUAACAUUUUGAACUGCAUGGUUCGAAAUUGAAAGGCGGCUUCGGCUGUCACUUAUGGAUGGACCCGCGUCGCAUUAGCUAGUUGGUGAGGUAACGGCUCACCAAGGCAACGAUGCGUAGCCGACCUGAGAGGGUGAUCGGCCACACUGGGACUGAGACACGGCCCAGACUCCUACGGGAGGCAGCAGUAGGGAAUCUUCCGCAAUGGACGAAAGUCUGACGGAGCAACGCCGCGUGAGUGAUGAAGGCUUUCGGGUCGUAAAACUCUGUUGUUAGGGAAGAACAAGUGCUAGUUGAAUAAGCUGGCACCUUGACGGUACCUAACCAGAAAGCCACGGCUAACUACGUGCCAGCAGCCGCGGUAAUACGUAGGUGGCAAGCGUUAUCCGGAAUUAUUGGGCGUAAAGCGCGCGCAGGUGGUUUCUUAAGUCUGAUGUGAAAGCCCACGGCUCAACCGUGGAGGGUCAUUGGAAACUGGGAGACUUGAGUGCAGAAGAGGAAAGUGGAAUUCCAUGUGUAGCGGUGAAAUGCGUAGAGAUAUGGAGGAACACCAGUGGCGAAGGCGACUUUCUGGUCUGUAACUGACACUGAGGCG
rnacentral:rRNA from 1 species